rfam:Frigoribacterium sp. JB110 genome assembly, contig: Scaffold1
GACCGACCCCUGGCUGUGAUCCCCAGCCGCAGCCCUGACAUCACUUCCCCGGUGGCAGGUCGAGCGGAUGGGAAUCAGAGCCAGGGGGAGGAACCGG